rnacentral:rRNA from 1 species
AGGAGAGUUUGAUCCUGGCUCAGGAUGAACGCUGGCGGCGUGCUUAACACAUGCAAGUCGAACGGAGUUUAGAUGAAACCUAGUGAUUUUAAACUUAGUGGCGGACGGGUGAGUAACGCGUGGGUAACCUGCCUUAUACCGGGGGACAACAGUUAGAAAUGACUGCUAAUACCGCAUAAGCGCACGGAGUCGCAUGACUCAGUGUGAAAAACUCCGGUGGUAUAAGAUGGACCCGCGUCUGAUUAGCCAGUUGGUGAGGUAACGGCCCACCAAAGCAACGAUCAGUAGCCGGCCUGAGAGGGUGAACGGCCACAUUGGGACUGAGACACGGCCCAAACUCCUACGGGAGGCAGCAGUGGGGAAUAUUGGACAAUGGGGGAAACCCUGAUCCAGCGACGCCGCGUGAGUGAAGAAGUAUUUCGGUAUGUAAAGCUCUAUCAGCAAGGAAGAUAAUGACGGUACUUGACUAAGAAGCCCCGGCUAACUACGUGCCAGCAGCCGCGGUAAUACGUAGGGGGCAAGCGUUAUCCGGAUUUACUGGGUGUAAAGGGAGCGUAGACGGUUUGGCAAGUCUGAUGUGAAAGCCCGGGGCUCAACCGCGGGACUGCAUUGGAAACUGUCAGACUUGAGUGCAGGAGAGGUAAGUGGAAUUCCUAGUGUAGCGGUGAAAUGCGUAGAUAUUAGGAGGAACACCGGUGGCGAAGGCGGCUUACUGGACUGUAACUGACGUUGAGGCUCGAAAGCGUGGGGAGCAAACAGGAUUAGAUACCCUGGUAGUCCCCU